GACAGAGGGUGCAAACGUUGUUCGGAAUUACUGGGCGUAAAGCGCGUGUAGGCGGCCCUGCAAGUCGGGUGUGAAAUCCCACGGCUCAACCGUGGAAGUGCACUCGAAGCUGCAGGGCUAGAGUCCUGGAGAGGAAGGUGGAAUGCUUGGUGUAGAGGUGAAAUUCGUAGAUAUCAAGCGGAACACCGGUGGCGAAGGCGGCCUUCUGGGACAGUGACUGACGCUGAGACGCGAAAGCGUGGGGAGCAAACAGGGAUUAAGAUA
rnacentral:rRNA from 1 species